GAUGAACGCUGGCGGCGUGCCUAAUACAUGCAAGUCGAGCGAACAGACGAGGAGCUUGCUCCUCUGACGUUAGCGGCGGACGGGUGAGUAACACGUGGAUAACCUACCUAUAAGACUGGGAUAACUUCGGGAAACCGGAGCUAAUACCGGAUAAUAUAUUGAACCGCAUGGUUCAAUAGUGAAUGACGGUUUUGCUGUCACUUAUAGAUGGAUCCGCGCCGCAUUAGCUAGUUGGUAAGGUAACGGCUUACCAAGGCAACGAUGCGUAGCCGACCUGAGAGGGUGAUCGGCCACACUGGAACUGAGACACGGUCCAGACUCCUACGGGAGGCAGCAGUAGGGAAUCUUCCGCAAUGGGCGAAAGCUUGACGGAGCAACGCCGCGUGAGUGAUGAAGGUCUUCGGAUCGUAAAACUCUGUUAUUAGGGAAGAACAAAUGUGUAAGUAACUAUGCACGUCUUGACGGUACCUAAUCAGAAAGCCACGGCUAACUACGUG
rnacentral:rRNA from 1 species